rnacentral:rRNA from 1 species
CGUGGGGUGCAAGCGUUAAUCGGAAUUACUGGGCGUAAAGCGUGCGCAGGCGGUUUUGUAAGACUGUCGUGAAAUCCCCGGGCUCAACCUGGGAAUGGCGAUGGUGACUGCAAGGCUAGAGUUUGGCAGAGGGGGUAGAAUUCCACGUGUAGCAGUGAAAUGCGUAGAUAUGUGGAGGAACACCGAUGGCGAAGGCAGCCCCCUGGGUCAAAACUGACGCUCAUGCACGAAAGCGUGGGGAGCAAACAGGAUUAGAUACCCUGGUAGUCCACGCCCUAAACGAUGUCUACUAGUUGUCGGGUCUUAAUUGACUUGGUAACGCAGCUAACGCGUGAAGUAGACCGCCUGGGGAGUACGGUCGCAAGAUUA